CGAGACAGAGACAACCCCGGGAAACUGGGGCUAAUCUCCGAUAGGCGAAGAGCUCUGGAAUGAGCCUUUACCAAAAAAACGAGUAGGCUAUGCUUCUAGUCGUCGCUCGAGGAUGGGGCCGCGACCGAUCAGGUUGUUGGUGAGGUAACGGCUCACCAAGCCUAUAACCGGUGCGGGCCGUGGGAGCGGGAGCCCGGAGAUGGGCACUGAGACAAGGGCCCAGGCCCUACGGGGCGCAGCAGUCGCGCAAACUUUGCAAUACACGAAAGUGUGACAGGGCUAUCCCGAGUGCCGUCCGCUGAGGAUGGCUUUUACCCAGUCUAGAACGCUGGGGGAAUAAGGAGAGGGCAAGUCUGGUGUCAGCCGCCGCGGUAAUACCAGCUCUCCGAGUGGUGUGGAUGUUUAUUGGGCCUAAAGCAUCCGUAGCUGGCCAAGCCAGUCCCUUGUUAAACCCACCGAAUUAAUCGUUGGAUUGCGGGGGAUACUGCUCGGCUAGGGGACGAGAGAGGCAGACGGUAUUCUCGGGGUAGGGGUGAAAUCCUAUAAUCCCGAGAAGACCACCAGUGGCGAAGGCUGUCUGCUAGAACGCGCCCGACGGUGAGGGAUGAAAGCUGGGGGAGCGAACCGGAUUAGAUACCCGGGUAGUCCCAGCUGUAAACGAUGCAGGCUAGGUGUUUGGACGGCCACGUGCCGUUCUAGUGCCGCAGGGAAGCUGUUAAGCCUGCCGCCUGGGGAGUACGGUCGCAAGAUUGAAACUUAAAGGAAUUGGCGGGGGAGCACCACAAGGGGUGAAGCUUGCGGUUUAAUUGGAGCAACGCCGGAAAUCUCACCGGGAGCGACACCAGUUUGAAGGCCAGAUUAAAGGUCUUGCCAGACGAGCUGAGAGGAGGUGCAUGGCCGUCGCCAGUUCGUGCCGUGAGGUGUCCUGUUAAGUCAGGCAACGAUCGAGACCCGCGUCCUCUGUUGCAACCAGUCUUGAGCUGGGCACACUGAGGAGACCGCCACUGAUAAAGUGGAGGAAGGAGCGGGCCACGGCAGGUCAGUAUGCCCCGAAUCUCCCGGGCCACACGCGAGCUGCAAUGGCAGGUACAAUGGGUUCCGACCUUGAAAGGGGAAGGCAAUCUCGAAAGCCUGCCGUAGUUGGGAUUGAGGGUUGUAACCCAUCCUCAUGAACAUGGAAUCCCUAGUAAUCGCGUGUCACU
rnacentral:rRNA from 1 species